GGGGUCUCCGCCCUGUAAGCUUAUGCUCUCUCUCUCAAGAUGCAUUAAAGCUUUACUGCAGAAGGAUCCGAGUGUCCUGUGUCGUUCUUGCCGGCAAGACGAUCGCGCGGGACAGACCAGGACAUGGGGAAUUGAUGAAAGCCUAUGAAGUGAACACUGUGGGCCAGGCGUGGCGGUAUACAUCUGUAAUCCCAGUGUACUGGCUGGUUUUGUGUCAACUUGACUCAAGCUAGAGUCAUCAGAGAGGAAGAAGCCUCAGCUGAGGAAAUGCUGCCGUGAGGUCCAGCUGUUGGCUUCAAACUCACCAUGUCACUGAAGGUGGCUUUGAACUUCUGAUCCCUUUUCUGGAAGCAGAUGUGUGCCCUCAGUUUCAGCAGUACUGAAACUUCAACUUCAAGGUUUGAGUUUCUACCAGUUUUCUACAGUGAACCAUGACCAUGCCUAAGAGUGACCUUUGACACCAGGACUAUGAUAACACCAUUAAGCUGAACAACGCCAACAAAGAUCAGCUUUGGACUACAAACUGCUCAGAAAAAUUUUGAGGUGGCUACCUGAGAUGAUCCAGCCUCACAGCCUAUUUUAGCCAGGACUCGAGACACACUGCACUUCCCUAUCACAAAGAGACUGGACAACAAAUGAUACAGCUGACAAUUUCCAAAAUUUUUCUUUUCAGGAUCCCCUAAAGAUGCCUUUUCCCCCAGACAGCAGGAAGUAAUUUUAAGAACACCAUGCCCACAUUCCCAAGUGGUGGGGUGGUGGUUUUUGGUCACCUAUUGGGUUAUGGAUAUUUGUCAUUGUUUAGGGGGAUUUGCUACAGAAUGUUGUUGGUUAAGGUCAGGAAGAAAGCUGAACAAAGGGGAUUAGAUUCAAGGUUUUUGUUUUGAAAAUAAAAGGGAAUAUAGAUAUGAUAGGAUAAAAAGGGUAGAUUAUUGAAUCUACUCUAAAAAGAAAAAAGGGAGGAUAUAGAUACAAUAAGAUAAAAAGGUAG